UCGGCCUCCCAGAGUGCUAGGAUUACAGGUGUGUGCCACCGCGCCCAGCCCAGGCCACUCUUAAGUCUUCUAGAAAGAGCCUCCAGAACUGUCCCCUAUUUCUGCCCUUGCCUCCCUUUAGUCUACUCUCCUCCUGGCAGUCAGAGGGAUCCAUUUAAAACCCAAGUCAGGGCACAUUCCUCACUGGCCCCAAACCCUCCAGCAGCUCCUGUUUUACUUGGAGUAAAAGCCACAGCCUUUACUUCAGCCCACACAGCUCUGCCCACCUGGUCCCACUAUUCCUUUUUUCCUCUGACUCAUCUGCCACCACUCUGCCCUUUGCUGCUGUGUUCCAGGCACCCAGGCCUCCCUGCUGGACCCUGAACUCCCCAGGCAAGUGCCAAACUCAGGGGCUUUCCACUCGCUGUUUCUCCUGCUGAGUGCACUCUUCCCCUGGGCAUCUCCAUGGCUCACCCUCCUACUUCAAGUCUUUAUUUAAAAGUCACAGUUGUAGUAAAGCCUCCCAGGUCACCCUAUCUAAAUCUUGCCCCUUUUCUACCACCCGACAUGUCACAUCCCCAUUUUCUAACACAUUAUGCAUUCUACUUGUUUACCUUAUUUGUUUCCUCAACUACAAUGGAGCCAGGAUUUUUGACUGUUUUGCUUGUUGCUAUGGUCCUAGUGUCUAGAACAGUGCUUGGCACACUGCAGACAUUCAAGAAGUAUUUGUUGAAUAAAUCUUCUCACUCUAAGUCUUGUGGCUUUUGCCCCCAAAUUCUAUCUUCAAGCUGCUGCUGCUCUAGCUCAGGCUCCACAACCUGCCUCCUGCCUCUGGCCAGGCCUCCUCCAAUCCACACAUCACUCUAGAGACAUGGCCCAAAAACCCAAGUCUGAGCACAAUCACGACUUUGCCCAUGAUGUAUAGGAAGAAAUGACUUAAUUCUACGGUCGUGUUUCUAAAGCCCAGCAAACCCUUCUGCUGUUGCAUAUAUUACAUAUCUGUCUAUCUCAGGAGAUUCCACGAGGGAAGGGCCAGUAUCUGACUCAUGUGUGUUCCCAGGGACCAGCACGGAGCUCUACUAGCAGACCUAGGUAAUUACUUCACUGGGUGAAUCACACACUCCCAAGUGUGUUUCCUCAUCUGUAAACGGGGGUGAUAAUUCCUGCUACGCAAAGGCCUCAAGAUGUGGCGAGGCUCCAACUCAAUUAUGCAGAAAAGUGUGCUCUGAAAAGGACAACACAAGCAUGAGGAGCGAUGAUGGUCCAAACACUGGGUGCUUCAUUUAAGGGACGUGGGUCUACGUCCUGGGCAUGCAUUUCUGCAGCCCCUGCGGCUGGCUGGAAACAGGCUGGGCCUCCUGCUCCCUACGGACACCUUUCUUGAGACUUCUCAGGCUAGAAGAGAACCUAACCUGGUAUGGCCUGCCACCUCAUGGCCACAGACAGAACUGCAACACCUACGCCUGGGCUGUGGCGCAAGGGUUGUGAUUCCCCUUUAGAGAUGAGAAAACUAAAGCUCUGCAGGGGCAAAGUGACUUGUUCAAAGCCACACUGUCAGCAGGCUAUGUAUGACAAGAGAGGCAGCUGCAUACCAACCGACUGGCUCUACUGCUUACUUACUAGCUGCUUCUCUCUAUUCUUGUUUCCUCACAGGUUUCUCGUGAAGAAAGCCUGGCAGGGGCAGGCAUGUCAGGAGUGCCCAGGCCUCAGGGUCCCAUCCAUGCUCACCUUGUGAGAAACACCAAGAAAACUAGUAUGGGCAGGACCAACACCACAUGUAUCCAUCCAGCCAUCUACCUACCCACCCGACAAACAGCCGUACUGCCUGCUGGGUGCCCUGGCCUGGGCUGGGACUGGACAAGGUCUGUAUCCAGGGAGUGACUGUUCAAGAAGCUAUCAAGGGCUCCUCACCUAUUUGCCUGACCAAGACUCCUGUGGCCAAGACUCCCUGGCUGACAUGUACAGAUGUCGUUAAAGAAGGAGGAAGGUUUUUCUAUGCUGUCCUGGGACUUCCCCAAAACAGAACACUGAAAGAGGAGCAUUUCUUCUUUUUCUAGAGUGGGUUUUUCCUUAGAUUUUUGUAUGCAAUGUGACUUGCCCUUUUUUUUGCAAUGGUUCCUAUGACACUUCUUUGUAUCUUGUUUUUGUUCAGUGUAGGCAAUUCUGUCCACAUUUCCCACUUACCCUGACACUAAUUAAAUGCAUUUUUUAAUCCUUUCCCAUUUCUGAGCUAUGGGUUUGAAAUUGUUGGUUGUGUUUGAUGUUCUGUAGCCUGUGAGCCUGGUAAGGUGGAUGGAGGACAGAGAGACCAAUGAACAGUCUUUAUUUUGGGGGCAAAAAUUAUACUCCCUUAUCAGAGGUUCUUUAAAGUGCCGUACCAAUGUUUAUUCUACCUAGUAAGGGCAUUCCAAUGUCCACGGAGGAAAUACACUCUGGAUUUGGAUCGUUCUCUUUCAACAUGGACUCCUGGGCCUAUCUUUCUAUCAAGGAGAAUGACACCCCCACAUACUCAGUCACCUAGCUGAAAUGGCAGCUCUUUCUACUACCUUACCAGUCAGAAAAAGAAAAGCAAAAUGUACUUCUUUAGUUAUCUUUUCUCCAAAUUUGGGGAGGUACUAAAGAAUUCUCAGAAUUUUGUCAUUGGAGUAGGGUUAGCAGGUAAACCAUACCAAAAUUUUUUGCUGCCAAUUUUUUGCUGAUU